CAGCCGUAAACAAUGUGCGUUAGGUGUGUCGGUAACCACGUGUUACUGAUGCGCCGAAGAGAAAUCGUGAAACGCACCACCUGGGAAGUACGGUCGCAAGGCUGAAACUUAAAGGAAUUGGCGGGGGAGCAUCACAACAGGUGGAGCCUGCGGUUUAAUUGGAUUCAACGCCGGACAUCUCACCGGAUAAGACAGCUGAAUGAUUGUCAAUCUGAAGGUUUUACAUGACUAGCUGAGAGGUGGUGCAUGGCGUCAGUGACU
rnacentral:rRNA from 1 species